GAUUAGAGGACCACUCACACUAGUUGGCAUAACAAAAUUUAAGUGAAAUCAUCUUUAAUGCAGAAUCUAAAGAUGUUUCUAAUGCAUCUAGCACAGGAAUUUUCAGAUUCUCAACCCAGACAAAGAGGAG